rnacentral:rRNA from 1 species
AUUGAACGCUGGCGGCAUGCCUUACACAUGCAAGUCGAACGGCAGCACGGGUGCUUGCACCUGGUGGCGAUUGGCGAACGGGUGAGUAAUACAUCGGAACAUGUCCUGUAGUGGGGGAUAGCCCGUCGAAAGCCGGAUUAAUACCGCAUACGAUCUACGGAUGAAAGCGGGGGACCUUCGGACCUCGCGCUAUAGGGUUGGCCGAUGGCUGAUUAGCUAGUUGGUGGGGUAAAGGCCUACCAAGGCGACGAUCAGUAGCUGGCCUGAGAGGACGACCAGCCACACUGGGACUGAGACACGGCCCAGACUCCUACGGGAGGCAGCAGUGGGGAAUUUUGGACAAUGGGCGAAAGCCUGAUCCAGCAAUGCCGCGUGUGUGAAGAAGGCCUUCGGGUUGUAAAGCACUUUUGUCAGGAAAGAAAUCCUUGGCACUAAUACGGUCGGGGGAUGACGGUACCGGAAGAAUAAGCACCGGCUAACUACGUG